AAAAAAAUAAAAAAUGGCUGCAGAGCUUCUUCUUACGUUUGCCAUGGAGGAGACUUUGAAAAGGCUGAGUUCCAUUGCUGCUGAAGGGAUCAGACUUGCUUGGGGAUUGGAGGGCCAGCUGCGAAAGCUCAACCAGUCCUUGACCAUGAUCAAAGAUGUGCUCCAAGACGCAGCCAGAAGAGCAGUGACAGAGGAGUCUGUGAAGCGUUGGCUGCAGAACCUACAGGUUGUAGCUUAUGAUGCUGAAGAUGUUCUAGACGAGUUUGCGUAUGAGAUUCUCCGCAAACAACAGAAGAAGGGAAAGGUACGUGACUGCUUUUCACUUCACAACCACGUUGCAUUCCGUUUAAUUAUGGGUCAAAAAGUUAAGAAGAUCAAUGAAGCCCUGGAUGAAAUCAGGAAAGAUGCAUCCGGAUUUGGGCUUGGAUUGACAUCUCUACAUGUAGAUAGUGCUCAAGAAGUUAGGUGGGCUCCAGAUCGAGAGACAGAUUCCUUCCUUGACAGCUCAGAAAUUGUAGGAAGGAAGGAUGAUGUCUCUAUAGUUAUGGAUACGCUGACUAGCUUGACCAAACACCAUGUCCUUUCGGUUGUCCCUAUAGUGGGGAUGGUUGGCCUUGGAAAGACUACUGUAGCAAAAAAGGUUUGUGAAGCAGUGAGGGAGAGAAAACAUUUUGAUGUGCCUCUAUGGGUUUGCGUUUCUAAUGAUUUUAAUAAAGUGAAGAUUUUAGGAGCAAUGUUGCAAAUGAUUGACAAAACUACGGGUGGGUUGAGCAACCUAAAUGCAAUUAUGGAAAACCUUAAGAAAAAGCUGGAAAAGAACACAUUUUUUCUUGUUCUUGAUGAUGUGUGGAAUGAAGACCAAGAUAAGUGGGAUGAUUUGAAGGAGCAACUGUUAAAAAUUAACAGCAAGAAUGGUAUAAAUGCUGUUGUUGUUACAACCCGCAGUAAGAAAGUAGCAGACAUGAUGGAGACUUCUCCUGGGAUUCAGCAUGAGCCAGGGAGACUAUCAGCUGAUCAAUGUUGGUCCAUUAUCAAGCAAAAGGUGAGCAGGAGUGGACGAGAAACAAUAGCUUCAGACUUGGAGGUUAUUGGAAAAGAUAUCGCAAAGACAUGUGGAGGGCUUCCGUUGCUUGCUACUGUUAUGGGAGGAACGCUGCGGCAAAAGGAGACAGGAGUGGAAGUCAAUUCUAAACAGUAGAAUUUGGGAUUCUCAUGAUGGAAAUAAAGCUUUCCGCGUAUUGAGAUUAAGUUUCGAUUACUUGUCAUCGCCAACAUUGAAAAAAUGUUUUGCAUACUGUUCCAUUUUUCCUAAAGAUUUUGAAAUUGAAAGGGAAGAUCUAAUUCAACCUUGGAUGGCUGAAGGUUUUCUAAGCUCAUCAAAUGGGAGGAUGGAAGACGAAGGCAACGAGUGUUUCAAUGACUUGCUUGCAAAUUCCUUUUUCCAAGAUGUUGAAAGGAAUGCGUAUGAGAUCGUAACAAGUUGCAAGAUGCAUGAUCUUGUGCAUGACCUUGCAUUUGAGGUGUCAAAAUCAGAAACGUUGAAUCUGGAGGCGGAUUCAGCUGUAGAUGGCGCAUCUCAUAUUCGUCAUCUCAAUCUCAUUUCUUGUGGGGAUGUUGAGUCAGCAUUAAAAGCGGUUAUGCUAGAAAAUUGCGUACUGUUUUCUCAAUGGUUGAUGUAUUAAAUGGGUCUUGGGAAUUCGACAGGUUGAGAACUCUCAAAUUGCGACGGUCUGAUAUCACAGAGUUACCAGAUUCAAUUUGCAAGCUGAGACAUUUGAGAUAUCUUGAUGUCUCCGAUUCUGCUAUUAAAAUAUUGCCAGAAUCCAUCACCAAGCUCUACCUUUUGGAAACAUUAAGAUUCACUGAUUGCAAGUCACUAGAAAAGCUUCCCAAGAAAAUGAGAAAUUUAGUCAGCUUGAGACAUCUUCAUUUUGAUGAUCCAAAGCUAGUGCCAGCUGAGGUGAGACUCUUAACAAGCCUUCGAACUCUGCCUUUUUUUGUUGUGGGUCCGAAUCAUAUGGUAGAAGAGCUGGGAUGUUUGAAUGAACUAAGAGGAGCAUUGAAGAUAUGCAAGCUUGAGCAAGUUAGAGACAAAGAAGAAGCUGAGAAGGCAAAACUGUGUGAAAAAAGAAUGAACAAAUUGGUGUUUGAAUGGAGUGAUAAUGGUAACAAUAGUGUUAACAACGAGGAUGCGCUGGAAGGCCUGCAACCUCACCCAGACAUAAGAAGCUUGACAAUUAAGGGUUAUUGUGGUGAGUAUUUCCCAUCAUGGAUGUCUACAUUGCAACUCAAUAAUCUGAC
rnacentral:lncRNA from 1 species